UAGGGAAUCUUCGGCAAUGGACGGAAGUCUGACCGAGCAACGCCGCGUGAGUGAAGAAGGUUUUCGGAUCGUAAAGCUCUGUUGUAAGAGAAGAACGAGUGUGAGAGUGGAAAGUUCACACUGUGACGGUAUCUUACCAGAAAGGGACGGCUAACUACGUGCCAGCAGCCGCGGUAAUACGUAGGUCCCGAGCGUUGUCCGGAUUUAUUGGGCGUAAAGCGAGCGCAGGCGGUUAGAUAAGUCUGAANUAAAGCUGUGGNUAACCAUAUACCUUUGGAAANNGUNUGUUUAGUUGAAUGGGGAGGGGGGAGUGGAAUUCCAUGUGUAGCGGUGAAAUGCGUAGAUAUAUGGAGGAACACCGGUGGCGAAAGCGGCUCUCUGGCUUGUAACUGACGCUGAGGCUCGAAAGCGUGGGGAGCAAACAGGAUUAGAUACCCUGGUAGUCCACGCUGUAAACGAUGAGUGCUAGGUGUUAGNNNNNUUUUCNNNUUUNUUGCCGUAGCUAACGCAUUAAGCACUCCGCCUGGGGAGUACGACCGCAAGGUUG
rnacentral:rRNA from 1 species